rnacentral:rRNA from 1 species
GAUGAACGCUGGCGGCGUGCUUAACACAUGCAAGUCGAACGAUUAACCCGCCCUCGGGCGGUUAUAGAGCGGCGAACGGGUGAGUAACACGUGACCAACCUGCCCCUUGCUCCGGGAUAACCCAGGGAAACCUCGGCUAAUACCGGAUACUCCGCCAGGCCCGCAUGGGCCGGGCGGGAAAGCCCAGACGGCGAGGGAUGGAGUCGCGGCCCAGUAGGUAGACGGCGGGGUAACGGCCCACCGUGCCCGCGAUGGGUAGCCGGGUUGAGAGACCGAUCGGCCACAUUGGGACUGAGAUACGGCCCAGACUCCUACGGGAGGCAGCAGUGGGGAAUUUUGCGCAAUGGGGGAAACCCUGACGCAGCAACGCCGCGUGCGGGACGAAGGCCUUCGGGUUGUAAACCGCUUUCAGCAGGGAAUAUCGUGAAGGUACCUGCAGAAGAAGCUCCGGCUAACUACGUGCCAGCCGCCGCGGUAAUAC